rnacentral:rRNA from 1 species
AGCAGCCGCGGUAAUUCCAGCUCCAAUAGCGUAUAUUAAAGUUGCUGCAGUUAAAAAGCUCGUAGUUGAAUUUCGGGACUAAUAUGUCGGUCGUGCCUCGGUACGUACUGGUAUUUUUGGUUUCUCCCUUCUGACGAACCUUGAUGUCAUUAAUUUGGUGUCUUGGGAAAUCAGGACUGUUACUUUGAAAAAAUUAGAGUGUUUAAAGCAGGCUCACGCUUGAAUACAUUAGCAUGGAAUAAUGAAAUAGGACGUUUGAUUCCAUUUUGUUGGUUUCUAGGAUCGACGUAAUGAUUAAUAGGGGUAGUUGGGGGCAUUAGUAUUCAAUUGUCAGAGGUGAAAUUCUUGGAUUUAUUGAAGACUAACUACUGCGAAAGCAUUUGCCAAGGAUGUUUUCAUUAAUCAAGAACGAAAGUUAGGGGAUCGAAGACGAUCAGAUACCGUCGUAGUCUUAACCAUAAACUAUGCCGACUAGGGAUCGGAUGAUGUUAAUUUUUAAUGACUCAUUCGGCGCCUUACG